UACAGAGGGGGCAAGCGUUGUUCGGAAUUACUGGGCGUAAAGGGCGCGUAGGCGGCCUGCUAAGUCGAACGUGAAAUCCCUGGGCUCAACCCAGGAACUGCGUCCGAUACUGGUUGGCUUGAAUCCGGGAGAGGGAUGUGGAAUUCCAGGUGUAGCGGUGAAAUGCGUAGAUAUCUGGAGGAACACCGGUGGCGAAGGCGGCGUUCUGGACUGUAACUGACACUGAGAAACGAAAGCCAGGGUAGCAAACGGG
rnacentral:rRNA from 1 species